rnacentral:rRNA from 1 species
GUGCCAGCAGCCGCGGUAAUAACGGAGGGGGCUAGCGUUGUUCGGAAUUAGCUGGGCGUAAAGCGCACGUAGGCGGCUUUGUAAGUCAGAGGUGAAAGCCUGGAGCUCAACUCCAGAACUGCCUUUGAGACUGCAUCGCUUGAAUCCAGGAGAGGUGAGUGGAAUUCCGAGUGUAGAGGUGAAAUUCGUAGAUAUUCGGAAGAACACCCAGUGGCGAAGGCGGCUCACUGGACUGGUAUUGACGCUGAGGUGCGAAAGCGUGGGGAGCAAACAGGAUUAGAUACCUGGUAGUCC